rnacentral:rRNA from 1 species
GAUGAACGCUGGCGGCGUGCUUAACACAUGUAAGUCGAGCGAAGCACUUAAGUUUGAUUCUUCGGAUGAAGACUUUUGUGACUGAGCGGCGGACGGGUGAGUAACGCGUGGGUAACCUGCCUUUCAGAGGGGGAUAACAGCCGGAAACGGCUGCUAAUACCGCAUAAUGCAUCGGAUUCGCAUGUUUCUGAUGCCAAAGAUUUUAUCGCUGAAAGAUGAGCUCGCGUCUGAUUAGCUGGUUGGCGGGGUAACGGCCCACCAAGGCGACGAUCAGUAGCCGGACUGAGAGGUUGAACGGCCACAUUGGGACUGAGACACGGCCCAG